rnacentral:misc_RNA from 1 species
GGAAGGAUCAUUCACGCCAAAGUUACACUUAGCCAGUUCGGGCUUCGGCCCGGACGAACCUAUUUAUCGAACCAUAAAAACAAAUAAAAAAUUUUCAACGGUGGAUAUCUAGGCUCCCAUAACGAUGAAGAACGCAGCGAAAUGCGAUACGUAAUGCGAAUUGCAGAAAUCCGCGAGACAUUAAAUCUUCGAACGCACUCUGCGCUAAGGGGAAACUCCCUUUAGCAUACUUGUUUCAGUGUAAUUGAUUAUUACAAAACUAAAUGUGAUUGAUCCUCGGAUCUCUCAUUAAGUCAGUCUGCACGCAUAUGUCGUUCCCAAUGAAGUAGUCACAUCUAAUGUGAUUUCGUUGGACCUAUGGUAUAUGUGCGAGUGCAGUGAUAGCACACCAAAAAUUCAUAAUCUAUACCUGAAAUCAAGUAAGGCUACCCGCUGGAGUUAAGCAUAUCAGUAAGCGGAGGAAAAGAAAUUAACUAAGAUUGCCCUAGUAGUGGCGAACGAAGAGGCAACAGCUCAAACUUGAAAUCUGGAUCCUUCGGGUCCCGAAUUGUAAUCUAUAGAGGUCGGCAGUAGGCGAACACGAUCGUAUAAGUCUUCCUGAAACGGAGCAUCACAGAGGGUGAAAAUCCCGUAGUUGGCGAUUGUGUAACCGAAUGCUAGCCAUCAAAGAGUCGGGUUGUUUGGGAGUACAGCCCAAAAUGGGAGAUAAACUUCUUCUAAAGCUAAAUAUUUAUGGGAGACCGAUAGCGAACAAGUACUGUGAAGGAAAGAUGAAAAGAACUUUGAAAAGAGAUUUAAAAGACUUGAAACCGUUGAGAAGGAAGCAGUAGAAAUGAGUGAUCUAAGAGUGAACGAGUAGUUUGGAAGCGGAUGUUAUGGUGGAGUACGUCAAAGGCUCGGCCAGAACUGAAGUGACGAAGCUGUUCUCACCACUUUUAGAAGACAGAAUGAUGUCAGGGUCCUGGAAUAAUGACGAACUUAUUCCUUGUUUUCUCAAGAGAGUUAGUCAGGAACAGUGACACUGGCAUGAGGGAAUUAUAUUGAUUCUGUCAAAAUGGUUUUUACUGACCCGUCUUGAAACACGGACCAAGGAGUCUAACACAUAUGCAAGUCUGCGAGUGAGAAACUCAUAGGCGUAAUGAAAGUGAGUAUAAGAUGCCAAGGGUAAAACCGGCAGCAUCAGCCGUCCAUGAUCUUCUGAGAAAGGCACGAGCAAGAGCAUAUUUGUUAGGACCCGAGAGAUGGUGAACUAUGCUUGAGUAGGGUGAAGUCAGGGGAAACUCUGAUGGAAGCUCGUAGCGUUACUGACGUGCAAAUCGUUCGUAAAACUUGAGUAUAGGGGCGAAAGACUAAUCGAACCAUCAAUUUGCUGGUUCCUUU